GGGGGGGCUAGGAUAAAAAAUUUUGUCCUGCAUUUUUUUUAGUUGUAAUCUCUGUCCUGCCUUUUUAUUUUUCACUCUAUUCGGUCCUGCAUUUUUUUUUUUAUUAGUUUGUCCUCACUUUUUUUCAUAAAUUGUCAUCCUGCCUUUUUUUUUUGCAAAGUGUCUCAUCCUGCCUUUUUUUUUACUCAGAACUCCUGUCCUGCCUAUUUUUUUCAAAUUUCAUCCUAGCCCCCCCAUAAAAAUCAAAUGGUAGCUCCCUUAGUUUUGCAUUGUAAA
rnacentral:lncRNA from 1 species